rnacentral:misc_RNA from 1 species
GUGAAUCAUCAAAUUUUUGAACGCAAAUUGCACUCUCCUCGGAGAGUAUGCCUGUUUGAGGGUCAGCCUAUAAAAAUCGACAUCGUUGCUGUUUCGCGGUGGCGUUCGUCGGAAAUUGGGUCAUCUUAAAUCCUUUUGAUUUAAGCGACUUAAAAUUUUCUUUUGGUUCAUUAACCGUUUCAAGGUUCUAUUCCUUACCACUUUAAGGUUAU